rnacentral:misc_RNA from 1 species
GUUUUAUGCCCUGGAUUAGUUGGUGAACAUUUGUUAAUUCUGGGAGUUUGGACCAAUACACAUCAUAGUGCUCAAGGACCAAGCAAAGGAAAAAAAGCAAGAAAUUGAUUUGCCAUGCAAUACAUGUGCAUUACAUUAAUGUAGUGUCAAAAACUUUCGAGACAGACAGUUGUAAGCGUGAAUGGACGUUGUAGUCCUGCCAAUUAAUCAAUAUGUUUAUUCUAAUGUUUGUAAGGACAUGGCAAUACCUUGUUCCCAUGGCUCUUAGUUAUCUUUCCAAUGAGAAAUAUUUUAAAAUGAUACACAAACAAGGAAAAGGUUUAGAGUACUUAAGAAAAUAUGCAUGUAAAAAUGAUUUGGCAGCAGAACUCAUUUAAUUGACUGAAAAGACCCAAAUGAAAAUUGUCUAACAACAAAUGGUAUUCUGAAAUAUUACUAUACAGGAACGAAAGAUGCAUUUUAGGAUCCUUCAUGACAAGUUUAAUUAUGGUGGGAAUUUGUUGAUA